CCCUCGGUAGCUCAGUUGGAAGAGCGUGGGACUGUAAUUGAAACACAUUGCAUACGUAAAUUGUUUACGUAAUCAUUAUCCCGAGGCCACUGGUUCGAUCCCGGUCUGAGGGA
rnacentral:tRNA from 1 species